UACGGGGGGGGUAAGCGUUGUUCGGAAUUACUGGGCGUAAAGGGCUCGUAGGCGGCCAACUAAGUCAGACGUGAAAUCCCUCGGCUUAACCGGGGAACUGCAUCUGAUACUGGAUGGCUUGAGUUCGGGAGAGGGAUGUGGAAUUCCAGGUGUAGCGGUGAAAUGCGUAGAUAUCAGGAAGAACACCCGUGGCGAAGGCGGCUCUCUGGGACGGUACUGACGCUGAGACGCGAAAGCGUGGGGAGCGAACAGG
rnacentral:rRNA from 1 species